UACGGAGGAUGCAAGCGUUAUCCGGAUUCAUUGGGUUUAAAGGGUGCGCAGGCGGAUUGGUAAGUCAGGGGUGAAAUCCUACAGCUCAACUGUAGAACUGCCUUUGAUACUGUCAGUCUUGAGUAUAGUUGAAGUGGGCGGAAUGUGUCAUGUAGCGGUGAAAUGCUUAGAUAUGACACAGAACACCGAUCGCGAAGGCAGCUCGCUAAGCUAUAACUGACGCUCAUGCACGAAAGCGUGGGGAUCAAACAGG
rnacentral:rRNA from 1 species